rnacentral:rRNA from 1 species
GUGGGGAAUAUUGCACAAUGGGCGCAAGCCUGAUGCAGCCAUGCCGCGUGUAUGAAGAAGGCCUUCGGGUUGUAAAGUACUUUCAGCGGGGAGGAAGGGAGUGAGGUUAAUAACCUCAUUCAUUGACGUUACCCGCAGAAGAAGCACCGGCUAACUCCGUGCCAGCAGCCGCGGUAAUACGGAGGGUGCAAGCGUUAAUCGGAAUUACUGGGCGUAAAGCGCACGCAGGCGGUCUGUCAAGUCGGAUGUGAAAUCCCCGGGCUCAACCUGGGAACUGCAUUCGAAACUGGCAGGCUUGAGUCUCGUAGAGGGGGGUAGAAUUCCAGGUGUAGCGGUGAAAUGCGUAGAGAUCUGGAGGAAUACCGGUGGCGAAGGCGGCCCCCUGGACGAAGACUGACGCUCAGGUGCGAAAGCGUGGGGAGCAAACAGG